rnacentral:lncRNA from 1 species
GCCAGAGCCCAGGACUUCCCUCCUGGGAUUUAAGAGAACAGGCUGGGACAGAAGAAGCUGAGAGAGUACCUAUUCUUUGAGUGAGAAACAAUGGUCUCCAAAUGUGGUCUCCUGGUACAGUGAGUUAUUUGUUAUAUCCAUCUACGUUCUGGCCGUUUUCUGAUACGAAUGCUUUCAAAUGAUUCUGGAUCUCUUCUCAUUACUGGAAUGUAGGCCCCUGAAGGUGGGGAUACAGGCUGUAAUGGUACUUUUUAAUAAUUAACUACCAUCGAUUUGUUAGCCAAAGGUCAUUCCUUCCUACAUUUGAGAAUCUCAAACUCCUGGCACCUGAGAAGAGAAGUAAAAAAUCGUUCACAAAUUAUUGAUACACUAUAAGACCCUGCACGUCUCACCCUGUACAUGGAGACCACGCAAGAUCUGAGCUCAAUGCUAGAUGCUCCCACUUUAAGGACAUGCUCAGGAAGAGGUUUUGUUCCCUAGAGAAUACAUUGAUUACCAGGUGAAGUUGGUUCUACAGCUGGAGAAAGCUGCAGAAAUUUAAUUUGCUGGUGAGCACCGGUACCUGACUUCCUAUCUGCAGGCUCCUUUCCUUUGAUGUGUAGUGCAAGGACAUGGAACGGACCUCAUUAGACUCAGAA